UGACAGGAAGAUACAUCCAUCCAAUGUGAUAGAGGAAAAGGAAUGGAAAUUGCCCAAGUGAUGCUUCAGCGCAAGUCUUUUCUAUGCAAAGACUUUGAACAAACCCUGGCUGACUCUUCCUGUUUACCUUUCCUUGUUUGCGUUUGCACACCAUUGUCACCCCUAUUGUACGUCCACCAUGUAUGGACUUGUAAAUAAGUUGUGCUAUUUUCCAUAUUGCCAAUUGGUUUUAUGGUAGAACAUUAACUUUUUUUAAGAGAUUCGCCAACAAUCUACAUUCCGGUGAAAGAUAUCACCAUAAAAUGUGGCUAUUCCGGCAGCAUAUUCGAUCACUAUGAUAAAUGAAAUUGGAAUGGAGAUGCUUACUUAAACAUUUUCUCCAUUAGAAGCACACCAAGCAGUUGGUAUCACAUCCAUAUCCAAAGCACCACCUUCAAUGUUGUCGUCCUCCGUCCGCCAAGUGCCAUACACCACAACACUUGUAUCAUAGUAGCGUGCAAUUCUUCAUUAGUUCAUUUUCCUUCAAUUCUUCCAGAUGAAGUUGGGCUUUCCAGGACCACCUGUCCUGAUGGAGAAGAAGGAUUUCCUAGUUGAUCUGUCAUUUUUAACAAAUCUUGAAACGAUUCGUAUUUUGUCCUCUUUUUGACACACGAGAUUGAAACAGAAAUCCCACCGGGCGUGCCAAAACUAUGUUCGUGGCUAGAAUUUCCGUCGGGGAUGCUUCCUAGCCGACAAGCACACAGCUCUCCGAGAGGUUGGCGCCAGUUGAUGGUUUCUGUCGGGCUUCUGCUUACUGGCGGGCUUGUCGGGCAAAUCUUGUCGGGUAAGGCUUGUUGGGCAAGGCUGAAAGAGAAGGAUAGGGUUAACUUUGAAAGGUGCCUUUGUAGGGCCUUAGGUAUAGGCCUUGAGGCUCACAAUCAAGAUUAACUUUUAGGUAUUCAGGCGUGCCACUGCCAUCUUUAGCAUGGCAGAUGUAAAACAGAUGUUGAGUUUUAAUUGUAUAUAUACCCGAGAGGUUGUUUUAGUUAUGAAAGGUGCAUUUGUGGGGCCUUAGGUGUAGGCCUUGAGGCUUCCCAUCAAUAACUAACUCAGUACUCGAACAUAUAAUGUCUAUUUCAUUGGUUGCAGAAGUGUUAUGACUAUUAUACUUCUAAUUACCCGAGCCCGAAGAGCCAAAUGCAUCCAAAUAGGUGCCUUUGUAGGGCCAUAGGUAUAAGCCUUGAGGCUUCCCAUCAGAAUUACUUCUAUACUCAAAUGUUCUACGAUAAUCAUAAUAUAACAGAAAUAAAACUUAGGAAAUCGGUCGAUUACUUGCGCCCCAAGUAACUUCUGACUUCUUGUUAUCAAAGACUGUCGUGGAUGGGUUAAGUCCACAUAAGGUUCUUUUUUAUGCCUUGAGACCAAGGACUUUUGAAUGAUCAAUCUUACAUGCCCAAGGGUUUAGAACUUAGAUCUGAUUUAAGUUGUGACUACAUAUUCCAAUCGGAAUCAAGGACUGAGGAGUCUUUUAAUCAUCAACUUGCUGGAACUAACUUGGAUACAAAUGGAAGUAUACAAUAUAUUACUAGACUUAUGAAUGAAAAGACCAAAAAACAAAGAGGGUCGGGCAAGGUUUCACCUUGUCAGGCAAGACUGGUCGUCUUGCAACUUCCUAUCAUGUGAUUUAUGGAGGGGCUUGAGAGCUUUAGAAAGAGGGCUGGGGAGGUGAGUUUACAUAAGGAAAUCGAUACUACAACAAGAUUUAUGCAAGGUAGCAAAACUUUUACAAAGGCUUUGGGUGAGGGUUGAUCCCGAAAGGGAUGAAGGUUUGGGCUGACUACAGCUUCGUUGAAAGCAAAUCUGGCUUGAGCAGAGUUUGUGUUUGUAUUUGUUUGUUUGUUUGAGUGACCUCAUCUCUGAUUUCUCUUUCUUCUUUUAUAGGCAGUUUGGCUUGGCCUCAUGUAGCUUUAAUCUUGCCCGAAUGCAGCUUGAAGGGCAAUGACUCAUCAACUUUUUACUUGUACUGCCACUGUAAAGUGCUUUUGGGCUGAUUAGCUGGCUGGUCUACACCACUUGAUCUCUAGGUAGGUGAACAAGUAGUGCAAAUGAUCUGCAGUCGGAAAAAAGCCCUUUUCUUCCUUCUGGGCUUUGGCUGGGCUUCGGGCCCCUUUCCUCCUAGUCCUCUUGUUGGGCUGACUCCCUUUUGAGCCCAAAGUUCAAGUUUUAACCCAAACAACCCUCCCAUUGAUAGCCAAAUUAAGAGCACUCCAGUAGACUAAGAACCGGCUAUAUGGGUUCUCCAGUAGGUUGUACAGAUUGAACAAACUGUAAACAAAAUGCUUCAUCUGGACUUUCAGACUUUGUAACAACAUUGCGGAUAACAGUGAAUAUGCACUCAAACAUCUGGAAGGAAACAAAAAUACAUGAAUUUGUGUAUGAUGAGCAUUGACAAAACCGUUCAGAUGCCAUUUAAUUGUCGUUAUUAAUUGAAUAAGUUGACACUACGUCCAUAUCGUCUAAUAUUGAUAAUAAGAACGUUUUAAAGAAUAUUAGCAAUUUCAAUUUCUACAAGGGUAAGCAUCUAUGUAAUUCACCAAAAACGCAUGCAGAAUUUUGAAGUAAUUAGGCUAGGGAGCUUCAAGUAAACAAUCUUUCAAAUUUUGUCAAAAAUUGAAGAUAAAAAUGAAUUAGUCGUGAAGGAAUAUUAUCCCCUCCAAAUUAAGUUAAAUAUCUUGAUCAGUACAUUAAGGAUGCUUAAUUUUCAAGUGUGCAGAAAGAAUGAGUGAAGCACAAAUAUCUCAAGUGCAGAUUUAAAGAUCAUGCUUAAUUCAGCAUGUAGUAGAGGUUCGACAUCAACGACAUGCUAAAAACUUAAAGGUCGUUUUCGGGUGGAUGCUAUAUUAAUGGAAGAGAUUGAAUCUCUACAUGUGGUUGAUAGACCAUCACUCCUAUUCUUGUGCUCCUGGGGUUGAGGUACUCGGUUAGGAGUAAGAUUCUCUCCCCUCCUAUUCUCAUCAAGCAGCAAGUAUCACAUCCAUUUUCAAAGAAGCACCUUCGGCAUCGUCUUCUAUCCGCAAAGUUCAAUGCUCCACACAUCACAGAUUUCUCACUCCGAUUGUACUUGCAGAAUAUUUAACCUCACUACUCCCGGCCAAAGCUACUUGUGUCGUUCAUUGGGAAUCAAACAAAAUAUUUAAGUCGGGUUUGUUAUCCCAUGGUCAAGAACACAAGUCUUAGUAAAAGUAAACACAUCAUGACAGGAAGAUACAUCCAUCCAAUGUGAUAGAGGAAAAGGAAUGGAAAUUGCCCAAGUGAUGCUUCAGCUCAAGUCCUUUCUAUGCAAAGACUUUGAACAAACCCUGGCUGACUCUUCUUGUUUACCUUUCCUUGUUUGUUUUUGCACACCAUUGUCACCCCUAUUGUACGUCCACCAUGUAUGGACUUGUAAAUAAGUUGC
rnacentral:lncRNA from 1 species